GCUUCAUAGCCAAUAAAUCAAAACAACAUGAAAAGAAAACUUAUUCAAGAUUUUAUAAAGUAAAAAAAAUGAUCGAAAUGUGGACAAGAUUGUGAAUAUUCGCCGAGACACCAAAAUAUAGGGUUUACAUAUUAUCCAAUUUAUCCAAAAAAAAAAAGAGUAUUUUUGGGAAUCAAAACUUAAGGAAAGAUAAUGAUGAAAGCAACGAUCACAACUUUUAACGACUAGAAAGUUUGAGCCUUUUGUGAAAGCAAAGAACAAAUUUUCAUACACAUAUACAGGGAAUCAAAAGGGAAUUUAAGCUAUAACAAAACUCAACAUACUUCCUAGGUAUACUAAUGCACAGAUAAACAUCAUGUACUUAAUGCGAGCCUACGUGAGCAAGCGAUGUCAAUGGAUAUUUAUCAAAGAAAAAUUCAACGAGUGAUAAGAAAGUUUGGAAUAAGGAGCAGUCUAGGAAACCAAGUUAGGGUUCUCAUGGUUCUCGCUAAAGCUCAACUUUUCCAAUACUUUAUCAUUCUCAUUGAACCAAAUUCUAAUCAAACAAAGGAGGCAGCUUGGUCAUCUAAUUCGGGAUCAACGAAAUUCUACAGGAAACCAUUGGAAUUUGCAAAACACACAGUUAAACAUGCUGGACAGAUUAACGACCGAAAUACAUAGUCAGUGAGAUUAGACACUUGGAAAUUAAAAUAGGGAAAACCAGAGGUCCUAAACCAAAACAGUAAACCAAAAUAGAGAUCGGGAUACCAUCCUUAGACCCGAGGUAGCAGCCCGAAACUACUAAUUAGAAAUCAAAGUAUGAAACUUUAAUGAUGGAACCAAUCUAUAACAACAUACUAGCAACCCAAACUACUAAAAAUCGAAAUAUGACACUUUCGUAUGAAAUUAGCGAUAACAGGGUACUAGUAGCCCAAACCAAAAUCAAAGCAUGCAACUUUAAACGACGAAACCAUCCUUAUAGGAUGCCCAGCAACUCAAAACAGAAUUGAAGAACAUAAAACUUUAACAUAAGGUCAGCUAUACAAACCUUAAGCAGUUCACAAAAAUGAGAGUAUUAAAUCGGACAUCUAUCAACAGCUACCUACGGCUAUUAAAGCUAUCUACCAGUAAUCAAUCCCAGCAUACAAUGUUACUCAAUAUUUUCUCACAACUACAGAAGGUCCAGAUGAAGCAGAGGCAAUCAAAAGCUUAAAUAGAGUAGGAUAUUACCUUUUAGGGAGCAGCAAAACGGGACUCGAGGCUUCGACGGAAUUUCAACUACCACCAGAAGACUUCGCCGUGAAUUUAAAAAAAUAAAAGACUCUGAACAAUCGCCAACCUUCCUUAGACACAAGAACUUUCCCUAAAAGCAAUCUCCUUUUGUUUUUCUAGAAUUUCCCCCUCUUUCGAACCCAAAAAUUCUCUAACUUUCUCAAACCUAAAAUUUUCUCUUUUUUUAAGAUUUUAGGAGAACUACUCCCAGAGAACGUAAAAGGGAAAGAAGAAAAAAUAAAAUCCCCUAGAACAGUGACCCAAGGGGUCUUUAUAUAGAAGACGAAUUAGGGGUAGAUUAGGGAUUUGAAAAAAGACUAAUUUUGGACCUUCUGUAGUUGUGUGUUGGUUGACGUUGGUUUCGAACUUUGAACACUUGAAUUGAUAAUCAAAGCAUGUGAUAAUUUGGUUGAUGGAUAGGGGGAUCGGAAUUCGAUAAAAGAUGGAUAAAUUAGCUGCUUUGAUUCAUUGUCAUUGUUAAUUUUGCAUCUAAUUAUUAAUUUUGUGAUAGUAUCAUGAUAGGUCGAACGGGGUAGGAAACGGUAGGCUCGAGUAAGCAAAUUGAGAACUUGUGGAUUAUGGAAUGUUCGAAAUAUAUAUUGAAUGGCUUUGUUUUAUCGCCUUUGACUCAAUUGUACUCAUUUGGCCGGGGAAUGCCCUGAGGUAUCUGUAUUGCCUUAUCCGGGGAAUGCCCCGAGAAAGUUGUACCGGAAGAUGGUGCACGGUCAAGGUCCGGAACGUCGGGUGGAGUUUAGUUUAGAAUAGAAUAGGAUUUAUAUUUCUGCAUUUUUAUUUUGGAACUGUAUAAUUCGGACUGGACACUACACUUCUGGAUUUGUUUUGUUUUGUGUGUUCGAUUGAUUGUUUCAUGUGUUUUGUGUGGUCAUUUGUAAUGUCAAACUAGCCGAUAAGCCUCACCAAGCGACCGUGGUCAAACCACGGGAUCGAAAGGUGCCUAACACCUUCCCCUUGGUCAAUAGAAUUCCUUAGCCAGAAUCUCUGUUCGCGGAUCAGUAUUCAGAGUCAAACUAUUUUGAAAAAAGGAUUUCCAAAGGUGACUUGGCACACCCGAUCUAUUCCAAGUGGCGACUCUGAUUUCGAAUGUAAAAACAAUCCUUCUUCGAAACAAAUCAUUUUCUUUUGUCACUGAAUAAUAAAAACCCUUUCGAACUUAAAACGAAUCUUUUUGGAGUUAAAAAGGGGUGUGACAGAAACAUUUAAGAAUCAUCAACAUGUGCUUUUGAUGGAAUACCAGUUAGAUAUAUCUAUACAGCAAGCCUGGGAUGCGAUAAAAAUCAACUGAAAUGAAGAAUCUUCCAGAAAUAUAUGUAUCUUCAUUUGGUAGAAAACUCCGGAACCGGUUGUAGCUUAUAUCAAGACACUUCAAUGCCAUAGUAGAUGUAUUUAUCUCUGUCCAGGAAUAAUGAUAAUUAUGUUAGGAAGCUACUGAGAAAAAGUAAGGGAUUUUCAAGAAAAUUGCAUGUUCACUUACGUAGAGUAGAGAAAACGUUUUCAAGAUAUAGAUUGUUAUAGCUCAAAUCUAGGAUUUCCAGCUUGUCUAACCCUGACAAUCUCUCAGAAACUAAAAUGUUAAGGAAAUGGAUUAGUUAGAAUAUGUUUAUUCUUCUGAGGAAGACCAAUAGUUCAAAGAGGCAAACCAUAUGUUGGAACCUGAUCCAGUUUUGUUGUGUGCGAACCAUACGUCGGAACCUGAUCCGAUGAAAUGAGAGGUUCAAUGACUUGAGAGAUGAAAGUUGACUAAUAGGCUCAAAGAUGCUGUGAUUGAAUCUAUUCCCUGACAAAUCAAGUACUUCCAGUUUUCUCAGUCGUCUCAGUUUCUCGAAACCUGUUACCAAAUUAGCAAGAAACUUAGAAUGGACAUGUUAAAUUUUGUCACAGUCAAGUUUUCGAGAGUCAAAUAGAUUGUACUUUGAAGUUAAUAUUGCUAAACCAGUCUAUAGUUAAACCUUGGAAGUUGAACUUGGUGUGAUCAUACUUCCUAUUUGGAUUGGUAGAACCAUUUUUCGGAUAUGUAGUACUCUCCGUCAGUUUCAUUUUAUAUGACUUUUUAUUUUGCUUUAGUCCGUUCAAAAACUACAACACCUCUUCAUAUUUGAAAACUUUUUGAACUUUAAAUUUUUCAUUGUACUUUUGAUGACAUGUUCUUGUAACCAUAGAAUUAUCAUAACUUGUUUACAACCACAAGCUUUAACACAAGCUUUAAGGUACCUUUGGUAUGUACCAAAUAUCAUUCAUUUUUUUGUUCUAUUCCUUGAAGAAAAACACCGUACCUAGUCAAACAUCACCAUAUAAUAUAAAACGGAGCGAGUGUAUGUAGAGAAAACGAACCUUCAUUCUUCACCCAACCAGCCAAAAAAUGUCCAGGUAGGAGCAGAGCUUUGAGAUAUUUGAAGGGAACAAAUAAAGAUGCAUUAAAAAGCCAGUUCCUCAAAAUAUUACCAGUAUAUAUACCAUUACUAAGUUGUUCUUCCUUAGCACUAAUGGACAACUCUAUGACUCUUCUGGUGUUGUUGCUGCAAACAAUUCCCUCCCAUCGACAACAAUCCGAGGUUUCAUUAGCCCCCCACGAUGACAAAUAGUCGUCGUCGUCGCUUGUACUGUAUUUUAUGUUUGCCUUUAGCUGCAAUAGUCCUUUCUUCAUUCCAACAACAAUAGCAGCAGCACCAUCCAUUUUCCAUGAACAAAAUCAACGACCACAAGUAUACUAUCUUGCUAUUGGUCAUAUUCUGCUUCUUAACCAACAAUGCCACUGAAUAUUGACAAUAAUAUAAGAUAUAUUCAGACUAUGUAAGAAGAGAAAGCUUGCCCGUUACUUGUACUAGUGAGAGGUAGUAGGUACCCUUCAGGAAUUAGUUAAGGUACGUACAACCUGGCCUGAACACCACUGUAAUCAAAAAAGCAUAUAAGAAGAGGAAGUUGAUGAUUCUAAUAUAUAUAUAUAUGUAUAUUCUUAUAAACUAAAAAAGACAAAAACACUUUCUUUGCACAAAUACUAUCUACUUAGGUCCAAUUAUAGCUUCCUAGUGGAAAUUGAAGAUCAUUAGAUUCUUGUGGAUUGUUUGAUAAUUAGAGAGAAACUAUAUAUAACCUUUCUCAUGAAGAAAAUUUGAGUGUAAUAAUUGAUGUAGACUGGAGUGAAAUUUUCUACAACUACUUUUCUUGUUAUGUCCCUUAAGCUUGCAGCUUCUUUAUUUUAUUAUUUUAAUGUCUUCCUCUUGUGCUUCUAUAUUUUGCUAUAAUCUAAUAAUUUGUCUAAAAGUUUGAUGGCUAUCAAGGUGAGGCGUUAUAGAUAUUGACAUUCGGUAUUUUGAUCUCAAUUAGCUGUUAUAAACAAAAGUAUGCAAAAUAAUAAGUUAAUGAUUUCGUAUACCAAGAAGAAGGAAUGUAUUUGUUAACCAUCAGUAAUCUUUCCUCGUAAAGUUAUGACCAUAACUAAUGGACACUAUAUAAAUAUAAUCUUUCAUUUUUAAAUAUUCUCACUUGAAAUUUAUUAUGUGCUUGAAAUUAAUAAUAAGUAUAAUAAAUAUUUUAAUAUCUUAUAAAUUUUACAAAGAAUAUAUCGUUGUGAUAACUGUCGCUAUAGGAAAGAUAUAACAUCAAAAAUCAAUCUUGAAAAAAAUCGGAUAAUUAUAGUGACAUACUAUUAUAAAGUGGACAAGAUUGUGAAUAUUCGCCGAGACACCAAAAUAUAGGGUUUACAUAUUUGUCAUAAUUUAAAUAAGUCGUUUAAAUUGUAAUUCAAUCUUAAUCCCAAAAGUCACCAUUUCUUAAUUAGUAUUAUUUUAAUCUGAUUAAAUUUAAUUAGAGUUAUUUUUAAUCUAAUUAAAUUUAAUUAGGGUUAUUUAAUAACCCAAUUAGAUUUAAUUAGGGAUAUUAAAUCUCCUAGAACAGUGACCCAAGGGGUAUUUAUAUAGAAGACGAAUUAGGGGUAGAUUAGGGAUUUGAAAAAAGACUAAUUUUGAAAUUCAAACUCGAACCCCUUCUACAGCUUGAAUUUCAUCUCCCAUUGGUACCAAUUUUAUUUUUUAUUUUUGUGACAGCUGUGGGAUUCUUUGAAAUGGUGGACCAAUUAAAAUGGAGAAAAACGAAUCCUCUUUCCAACCAAUGAAAAAUGCCCAAAGACGUACCUAAUCCAUACUAUUAUCCCAAAAUUCGCGGAUUUGAGCCGUUGGGGAGACACCUAAGCUCAUUCUAGAAGUUUUCUCAGCAUCUUUUCGUAUGGAAUCGCGUGGUACGCGUGAAGGAGGUUAAAAAAGAGUUGAUUGCUGGUCGAGUCUGGUUCGGAUCGGUUGAAUUUUGGGAUCUCGGGUCGGAUCGUCGUCGAUGGUGUUUGUUCGAUUGUCGAUGAUGUUGGAGGUUAUGUUGCUGUUGUUUGCGAUUUGUUAUUGUCCUGUUGUUAUUGCGUGUGUGCUGAGAUUGAAGAAGGAAACAAAAGGUGGGCCGGGUAUUGGUUAAUUGGAUUGGGUUGGUGGUUUUAGUGUUGGGCCUGGGAAAUUGGGGAUCAAUUUGAGUUAAACAUUGGGUAAUUUAAUAACCCUAAUUAAAUUUAAUUGGGUUAUUAAAUAACCCUAAUUAAAUUUAAUUAGAUUAUAUUAAUCAUAAUUAAAUUUAAUUGGAUUAAAAAUAACUCUAAUUAAAUUUAAUCAGAUUAAAAUAAUACCAAUUAAGAAAUGGUGACUUUUGGGAUUAAGAUUGAAUUACAAUUUAAAUGACUUAUUUAAAUUAUGACAAAAUUGAAUAUCUACUGGUCAAUUGCAUUACAAUUGGGCUACUUUGAUUUCAAUUGAGGUCAUAUUUAAUUCGUUCGCUAAAUUGAAUCGCAAUCUGGCACGAAUCAAGUAACAAAUUAACCUCAAGUUUCUUAAUUUGAUAAAAAUCCAAUAAAUAUUCCUCCAAAUAAAAUAUUUUGAGAGCAAAUCAUAUUUAAAACUAAAAUUUUAUCCAUUUGAAUUAAUUUUCAAGUUUAAUCAAUAAAAAUCUAAUUUUAAUGAAAACAUUUAUUUAAAUAACAAAAUUUAUACACUCUCUCGUAUAUAAAAAUGCGAAAAAUAUAUAAUCGCAAAUUAAAUGAUAAAAUUGAAUUGAAUAAGUAAUUUAAACUAGCAUUUAUUUGAACAAAAUAAUUGUUGUGAUUUUAUUUAAAAUUGAAGAAACUUCAAAAUCAAAUUGGAUUGCGGAGGGCAAAAAUUAGGUAUCAACAACUGCCCCCUCCCUUUGGGUAGGGUGGAUACAAGUAACCCUGGGAAAAGGGAGAUUGACGUUUCUAAUUUUUGUCCAACCACCAAUUCGAAUCCGAAAGAGGUUAAUCUUCGCACGAGUUUCAUGGAGUUAUGGCCAAACCUCGGUAUCAAGUUUCCUACAUAUCUCAGGUUUCAUGAGAAUUCAGACCACUUGUAGUUCAUAAAGCUUGACUUUAAGCACGAUUUUCAAGAAAAUUCACCAACUAACACAGUUUUAGAGUUUUUGGUUAAACCGAGAAGCUGGGGAAUAAAGGGAUUUGAGGGAGAUUGGAAUGCAGUCGAUUUUUCUACAUAGAGCCCAGCCUACAUAUCCUCGAAAUUCUGGGAAUUAGACUGCUUGUAUUUCAACUUGAUUGAUAGAAAAGGUAGUCUUUUAUUUUAAACGAUCUUUGGCUCAGGAUGAGUGACAAGUUGAUCGAGUUUCGGAAAAGAGGCUUGUAACCUCUUAACCAUGAAUGUGGGAUCCUUCACACCCAUAGACAAGAAACUUACCUGGACAUAAUUUCCAAAACUCUAAGUAUGUUGUCACCCGGAUUUGAAGAAAAGAGAACGUUACCCUCGGUAUGAGUUUAGAAAUAUCCCAAAGGUGAAGCUGAAACCAUAAUAUCCCAGAAUAACCACAUGCCUUAUAAUAGGGGUGUGGUUAGAUGGUGGUGGUGAUCCUCCUUUAGCUCGCGUCCAGAGAGUUUAACAUCCCUCUUUAGACUAUGUCUCGUUUUGCUGCUAAGAAAGAGUUCCACGUUGUGCUGCGUCCUAUCUGAAGUCGUCCGCACCUGUGAUUUUGAUUUGAGAUUUUCAUCCUCUCGGAUGCUCUUGAUAAUGCUUCAAGCAAAAAGUGUUAGUGCUAAACAUAAUUCACGAAAUAGGUAUGUAGUCUUUUACCAUAUCUCCACGUGAGUUGUGGCCUGAAAAGCGGAGUCAUCUCUUCAUGUCCCUAUUUGGAAUGAAAUAACUGGCAAAACAAACACAACAACCAUCUUGGUUGUUGUAUAAUUAUGACAUUUGUCGAUUGAAUAUGUCUUCAAAGUGGGGUGGCCCUUUUGGACACUGGCAACACUUUAUGCAGAACGGUCCCUAUAACCGUGUAAUAUUGUGCUGGUGUGGCAACCCUUUUGGUUACCUAUAUCACUUUUUGUAUGUGGAAUGAUAACCUCUCCGUUUAUAGCCGAUGAUUGAUUUAAAAAUUUUCUUUAAAUUAUCAAUCUUUGGAUAAUCUUGUGCAUUAUUUGAUGUUGGAUACGAGGCGACUUACAGAUAUCCUUUGAAUUGCUAGCUUUUAGGUAAUCCUGCAUAUUAUCCGACCUUGGAUAAAAGAUGGCUUACAGAUAUCCCUCCAAUCGCUAGCUUUUAGGUGUUCCUGCACAUCAUCUGACCUUGGAUACAAUAUGACUUAUAGAUAUCACUCAAAUUACUAGUCCUUGGGUAAUCCUGCGCAUAAUCGAUUAUGGAUAUGACACGGCUUAUAGAGAACCCUUGGACGUAUCAAUUUGAUAAUCUUACAUAUUCUCCGAUAAGGAUUUAGUUGCGACUUAUGGAUAACCUCCCAACUAUCAAUUUUGGGGCGAUUUUGCACACUAUCCGGUUAGGAUGUUGUUGUGACUUACAGAUAACCUACAGGCUAUAAACUCAUAGGUGAUCUUGCACACUAUUCUAUUUCAAAUAAUAUGACUUAUAGAUGACCCUCAAAUUGUCAACUUAUUGGAAAUCUUAUUUAUCAUUCAUCCUUAGAUAGCAACUUAAAGGUGUCCCUUUAAAUCUGAGCUCUUGAUGCAUUCAGAUGCUGAUUCAUAAAAUUAUGAGAUAUCCUCAAUGCUAGAGUUUAUGUCUAGCGUGUCAACAGAUAUUAAAUGAUGAUGAUAUCCUCGACGCCAGCAUUUAUGUCUUGUGUGUCAACAGAUAUGAAAUGCUGUUGAUAUCCUCGACGCCAGCGUUUAUGUCUCGCGUGUCAACAGAUAUUGAAUGCUGAUGAUAUCCUUGAUGCCAGCAUUUAUGUCUUACGUGUCAACAGAUAUAAAAUGUCCCUCUCGACAAAUGAUAUGAAUGACCAUCUUGGCAAUGAUAUGAAAUGGCCCUCUUGGAAAUGAUAUGAAAUGGCUCUCUUGGCAAUGAUAUGCAAUGGCCCUCUUAGCUUUGAUAUGCAAUGGCCCUCUUGGCAAUGAUAUGCAAUAGCCCUCUUGGCAAUGAUAUGAAAUGGCCCUUUUGGCAAUGAUAUGUAAUGGCCCUCUUGGCAAUGAUAUGAAAUGGCCCUCUUGGCAAUGAUAUGCAAUGGCCCUCUUGGCAAUGAUAUGAAAUAAACCUCUUGGCAAUGAUAUGCAAUGGCCUUCUAAGCAAUGAUAUGAAAUGGCCCUCUUGGCAAUGAUAUGCGAUAGCCCUCUUGGUAAUUUAAAAACAGUUUCACCUGAGUUUAUUUGUCAGCGUCUUUUCUUUCUACGUGUACCUGUACUCAAGGUAGACGAUUAAUAGACACAAAGUCACUUUUGCCAGCGAUCAUUUCUUAAAAAAAUUCUAAAUACAAUAUUUGUAUUUAGAUAGGCUACCCAAAUGGUCCUUCAUGAUCUCAAGAAAUGAGAUGGGCAAUUCAAAUGAUCCUCGAUAACUGGGUAUUAAGUUCAUUUUUGGGCUACCCAAAAAUACCGUUCUUAAGCAUUAUAUGCUCUGGCAUGGCUCCCGACUUUCUUGGGGAUUUUUGAAAAAAAUGCGCAUUUUGUAUAUCGAUCCCUGCAUCCACAGAAAAAUGAUUAGUUUGAAUGAAACUACUCCGUGUUGACCUCCUUCGAUCCUUGAUUUGCUCCCUGUCAUCUUUCAGGUACUUCGUCAUGUCAGGACUUCCACCCCUGACUAUCCAUCCCGAUUGAUGUCCAGGCAAGUACUAAAUAAAAGAUUUGUAUAGAUUAUUAAAAGUAGUCUUAAAUUUUAGAAAAUAGUUUCGAAAGCUUCUAUAAAAACUUUAGAAAAUCUCUGUCAGUCAUGUCAUGUACUAGCUCAACAAAUGUCUGCCUCUUGGUUCUGACUUUAUCUGACAGAGGAUUUCAAAACCUCAUCAUCAUUGUUGGAGGGUUCUUCAAAUACUUUUGUCAUAGCCAGAAAUUGAGUCUACCUAGACUUUGUCACAAUUGAUGGCUUCAAAAGUUUGGCUUUAACCUCUGGUGCCAAGGAAUUUGAAAUAUAUUCCAGUAUUUGGUGGAAAUUUUGAGGCCUCCCUCAAAAUUUUUGCCCCAGUUUAGAGCAGUCUGCGAUGAUAUCAUCUUGAGUGGAUCUAAAGUCUUUGCUGAUUUUUAUUCUCUUUGUUGGAUGUUAAUCUUCUCUUGUGAAUUUUCGAAAUUCGGUCUCAAAAAUUUUGCCCCAGUUUCUAUUUCCUGGGGUUAUAUGAUCGAUUUGUUGGGGCACCUACGCAUCCCGUUGAAGCAGGAAUCAGGUCAAAUGUAGUUCAAGACUAUGCUAGGGAUAUAUAUAGAAAAAUCUAAUGGGUUGAUCGAAGCCGACAUAGGCCGCGUACGUAUCUCAUUCUUGAGAAUUCAGGUCAUCACGUAGUUCAUACAUAAAGGGAAGGGAUAAAUUUUCCUAAGGGGUUGACCGAAGCCGACAUAGGCCACCUACGUAUCCCGUUCUUGGGAAUUUAGGUCAAACGUAGUUCGUACAUAAAGGGAGGGAUAAAUUUUCCUAAGGGGUUGACCGAAGCCGACAUAGGCCACCUACGUAUCCCGUUCUUGGGAAUUCAGGUCAAACAUAGUUCGUACAUCAAGGGAAAGAAGUUCUAGGUAAUUACGCAUCAUAAAACACAUUAUUACAAGGCGAUUACAAAUAAACUAAGGAAACACAAAAACUAGCACGUCUUUCAAACAUAGUACUUUUUUACCGCAUCAGAAUUGAUUGGUUUGGUCCAUUCUUGGCCAUCCAUCUCAGACAAAAUCAGAGUCCCUCCAGAUAGUACCUUGCAAACUAUGUAUGACCUUUGCCAAUUCGGGGUGAACUUGCCUUUGUACUCUUCUUGGUGAGGAAAUAUAUGUUUGAGAGCUAAUUGCCCAACUUCAAAUGUUCGAGUUCUUACUUUCUUAUUAAAGGCACGAACCAUCCUGUGCUGAUACAACUAACCAUGACAUACAGCAACCAUUCACUUUUCAUCAAUCAACGUGAGUUGUUCGAAGCGAGCACGAAGCCAUUCUUCGUUCCUUAGUCCGGCUUCCUGAAUAAUCCUUAGGGAAGGUAUUUCAACCUCAGCAGGUAUCAUAACUUUAUUCCCAUAAACCAAUAGAUAAGGAGUUUCCCCGGUGGAGGUUCGAACGGUCGUACGAUACCCAAGCAAAGCGUAAGGCAACAUCUCAUGUCAUGAUCUAUCAUUUUCGAUCAUCUUUCUCAAGAUCUUCUUGAUGUUUUUUAUUGGCAGUUUCUAUGGAUCCAUUCAUCUGUGGACGAUAUGCGGUCGAGUUGCGAUGCACUAUUUUAAAUUGGUCACAAAUAUCAUUCAUCAAGUGACUCUUCAAGUUUUCCCCAUUAUCAGUAAUGAUCGAUUCUGGCACUCCAAAUCGGCAAAUCAAGCUAUUCCUGAUGAAAUUUGAAACCACUUUCUUGGGACGGCUCUAUAUGAAGCAGCUUCUACCCACUUAGUAAAGAAGUCAAUAGCAACCAAAAUAAAUCUAUGCCCAUUCGUUGACGAUGGCUUUCUUGGUACAUAACAUCCAUGCCCCAAGCUACGAAAGGCCAAGGUGAAUUCAUCGUAUGAAGCUCAUGCGGAGGCAUUCGAAUCAAAUUUUUGUGUAUCUGAUAUAUUGGGCACUUCUGGACAUACCUACUACAAUCAUUUUCCAUAGUCAUCCAAAACUCACCAAUUCUCAGGAUUUUUCUAGCAAGAGAAAACCCAUUCAUGUGGGUCCCACAAACUCCAGCGUGCACUUUUUUUAUCAAUGUAUUGGCUUCUGUAGCGUCGACACAUCUUAAGAAUCCCAAAUCUGGAGUCCUCCUAAAAAGGAUUUCCCCACUUGGAAAAUAGUUCUGUGCCAAACGCCGAAUUGUCUUCUUUUGGUUGUUGCUGGCCUCUUCAGGAUAUAUUCUAGAUUCUAAAUACCUUUUAAUAUCAUAGUACCAUGGCUUUCCAUCAGGCUUCUCUUCAAUGUGUGCACAAUGCGCGGGUUGCUCCUUCAAGCUUAUCUCUAAAGGAUCAACGUAACACUGAUCUGGAUGCUGAAUCAUGGAAGAUAUAGUGGCCAAAGCGUCAGCAAACUCAUUUUGUAUCCUUGGAAUAUGUCUGAAAUCAACUUCUUUGAAUUUUCCACAUAAUUCAUGCACCAGCUCCAAAUAAGGAGUAAUUUUGGAAUUUUUUACCGUCCAUUCUCCUCAUACCUGGUGAAUCAGCAAAUCUGAAUCCCCGAUGACUAGCAAUUCACGAACACCCAUAUCAAGUGCCAUUUUGAGACCUAGGAUGCAAUCCUCAUAUUCGGCCAUGUUAUUGGUGCACGGGAAAUGCAACUUAGCGGUUACCGGAUAGUGUUGGCCAGUUUCUGACACCAAUACUGCUCCGAUUCCUGAACCUUUAAAGUUGACCGCUCCAUCAAAGAAUAACCUCCAUCCAGGGUAAAUUUCUGUAAUGUCUUCUCCUACAAAUAAAAUUUCCUCAUCUGGGAAAUAAGUCCGAAGCGGCUCAUAUUCAUCAUCAAUCGAAUUCUCUGCCAAAUGAUCUGCUAAAGCUUGCCCCUUGAUUGCCUUUUGAGUUACAUACACAAUAUCAAACUCACUCAGCAACAUUUGCCAUUUGGCUAGCUUUCCCAUGGGCAUGGCUUUGUGGAAUAUAUACUUCAAUGGAUCCAUUCUCUAGAUGAGGUAUGUUGUGUAUGAUGACAGAUAAUGCCUCAACUUUUGUGCAGACCAAGUCAAAGCACGACAUUUCCUUCCUACGAGAGUGUAACGGGCUUCAUAUGGCAUAAAAUUUUUACUCAAGUAGUAAAUAUCUUUCUCUUUCCUACCGGUCUCAUCAUGUUGCCCGAGGACACAUUCAAAAGCAUUUUCUAAGACUGACAGGUAAAGCAAUAAUGGCAUUUUCUCUCUUGGCGGAACCAAAAUCAGUGGUGCAGAUAGAUAUUCCUUGAUGCGGUCAAAAGCUCUCUAACAUUCUUCUAUCCACUCAUUCAACGCAUUUUUCUUCAACAUCUUAAGAAUUGGCUCGCAUAUGACUGGUGAUUGAGCGAUGAAUCUGCUAAUGUAAUUCAAACGACCUAUGAAACUCAUAACUUCCUUCUUGGUCCUCGACGGUGGCAAGUCCUGAAUUGUCUUGAUUUUGGAUUGGUCUAGCUCGAUGCCUCUUCUGCUGACUAUGAACCUCAGCAACUUCCCUGAUGGCACACUAAAAGAACACUUGGCGGGAUUUAACUUCAAAAUGUACUUUCUUAAUCUGUUGAAGAAUUUCUCCAGAUGGGUCAGAUGAUCCGAACUCUCAUAGGAUUUGAUAAUUACAUCACCCACGUAUACCUCAAUCUCUUUAUGGAUCAUAUCAUGGAAAAUCGUCGUCAUAGCCCUCAUAUAUGUUACACCCACAUUCUUGAGACCAAACGGCAUUGCCCUGUAAUGAUAAACACCCCAGGGCGUAAUAAAAGCUAUUUUUCUGCAUCUUCCUCAUCCAUCAAUAUCUGAUGAUACCCGGAAAAACAAUCAAUGAAUGACUGCAUUUCAUGCUUUGCAUAGUUAUCGAUGAGGAUGUGGAUGUUGGGCAAUAGAAAAUUAUCUUUAGGACUGGCUCUAUUCAAGUCUCUAUAGUCAACACAAAUUCAAAUCUUGCCGUCUUUAUUUGGCACUAGGACGAUGUUGGCUAGCCACAUCGGAUAUUUGGUGACCUCCACAAACUUAGACUGGAUUUGUUUUGUCACUUCUUCCUUGAUCUUUAGACUUAAAUAUGGCUUGAAUUUCUGUAUUUUUUUCUUAACUGGAUCAAACUCUGGAUUUAUCGGCAAUUUAUGCGACACAAUGCUGGUGCACAAUCCCGGCAUAUCAUCAUAGGACCCAGCAAACACAUCAAUGUAUUCCCGCAAUAGGUGAAUGAGCUCUCUCUUUUGUUCCUCCGCCAGGUGAACACUGACACUUGUUUCUUUAAUUUCAUCAUGAUCUUCGAUAUUGACUAUUUCAGUUUCCUCUAGGUUGGGCUUCUCCCAAUUCUCAAACUCUUCUACAUCUUCAACUAAUCUUUUCUCAUCACCUCUCUUCCAAUCAUCAUCAUUCCCCUUAUUUUGUUCGUCUAAUCUUUGACAUGACAUGACAUUGGCAGGUUUUGAGUUACUAUUACUGUUAGAAACAAACAAACCAAGUUAGAUGAUUACAAAAUAAUAAUAAUAAAAUAUACGAAUAGUGGUGUUUCAAAAAAUUAUUUAUUUAUUUAUUUAUUUAUCUAUUUUUAAUUUUUUUUAAUUUUUUUUUCAAAAUAAGGAAAGGCCUUUUCAUUAAAACUUGAGAGAUAAUUACAAACUAUGGCUCAUGACUCGUGCAAACACAAGCCCAUGCCUUUUGAAAGCAGUAAAAUACGAAAAGGAAAUUUGAGAUAUAAAGGGUGAAUCGCGGGGCCUCAUUCGGAUCAUCAGCGAUUUUAAGAAACUAUUAGUAAUUGCCCUUUCAUCUACCAUAUGGGUAACGGGUUAUGAAUGGAGUGGAGGUCCAGUUUUGCAAGGUCUCCCCUGGUGUAAUCUUCUUCACUCCACUGGACUUUGGGAAAUCUUUUGAUACAGCAUUUCAUCCCUCGAACAGAUUUCCUAUCCCAUCCCCAAGACCAUCAUCAUUCGACAUCUCACGUACGGGAAAUGACUGGUAUAGGAGAAGUAGAGGCCUAAACAGAGUCGCCUCUAAAUUAUUCUCAAUCUCAUCCUCCUUUGUAGGCCGAUAUCCUAACCCAUACUUAGAGGCUUUCUCUGGGAUCAUAAUAGGCUCAAUAAUUCCUUGCAGACUCUUACCCAAACCCCGACCAGGAUCGAAUCCAUUUCUUAACAUCACCAUCGCAAUCAUUUUAUAGACAGAAGGGAUUGGCGCUUUGGGCGUCAGAUCCUUCUCCACAGCAUUUACAAUUCCUACUGUAUAGAAACUACUACCAUUUGGAACAUCUUCAAUCACUGGCACAUAACCAUUGGGACGAUCCACUCGGAUUCCUUCCCCUUGGAUGACUACUUCAUGAUCCUCCCAAAUGAAUUUCAAUAAUUGAUGAAGGGGUGAUGAGACGGCCUUUGAACCAUGUAUCCAUGGUCUUCCCAAGAGCAGGUUGUAGCUAGGAUGAAUAUCCAUAACAUAAAAUUUAGUUUUGAACUCAGCAGGUCCCAUUUGGAUGUACAAAUUAAUUUCUCCUAUGGUAUCUCUCUGCCCUCCAUCAAAUGCUCUCACAUUUACGUGGCUUUGACAAAUUUUUCCCAAAUCAUAGCCCAUUUGAACCAACGUGGAGAGAGGACAAAUGUUUACACCAGAUCCGUCAUCUAUCAAUACUUGAUUAAUCACAUAGUCUCGGGAAAUGACAGUGACGUGCAAGGCUUUGUUGUGCAUCGCUCCCUUAAAUGGCAACUCUUCAUCACUGAAUGAUAUGCGAUGAUUUCCCAUAAUAUUUCCUAUCAUCGCAGCCAGGUUCUCAACACUCGUUUCUACGAGAACAUACGUUUCAUCCAAGACCUUCGAUAGAGUUUGUCGGUGGUAUUGCGAACUCAUUAAUAAUGCCAAAAUAGAAAUUUGGGCUGGAUUCUUCUCUAAAUAUUUGAUAAUUGAAUAGUCUUUUGGUUGCAUACGCCUCUAAAAUUUCUCAGCCUCCCCUUCAGUGAUUGGCCUUUUUAUGAAUCUUUUUCGUUGGUCAAUUCUUCAGGGAUGUAGCAUCAUCCCGAUCGUUUCAUCCCUUGGGCAGCAGCGGUCUGUACAAUAAACUCCUUCCUUGGCGGGGGAGUGUACACUUGGAUCGGGUCCAUCAUCACUAUAAAUGGGGCUUUCUCGUUGACACUUAAGGCAGCUACAGCUCUCUCUAUCUUUUCUACCUCUUCCGCUCUUUUACACUUUUCUGAAUUUACCUUAGUAAUAGUUUUGCCAGACGCCUAUUCUUCUUCUAUUUCAAUCAUGUCAACUGUAGGUCCCCCAUGAUUAGGCAAUGAGUUACUAUUGACAUUUGGCAUCGGUUACUGAAGCGUGAUGACCAUUUGAUCAAUUAGAUCUUGGAUCUUAUGUUUAAAGGUAAUACAGUCCUCGGUACUGUGCCCGGCUGCUCCUAUAUGAUAGGCACAAUUUUGAUCAGGAUGAUAAAAUUAGGAAUUGGGAUUGACAGGCUUUGGAUGGAUCGGUUGCAAAUGACUGAUAUUCUUUAAUCUUUCAAAUAGUUGGGUGCAACUUUCCGCAAGUGGCGUGAAGUUUUGGGGAGGUUUCUUUUUUAUGUUUGGACGUGGAGAGUUAUAAUGAUUCUGAUUUGUAGGAGGAGGCACUUGAUGAUAAUUCGGAGGUUCUUGGAUGUUUUUUCGGUUAUUUGGAAGAGUGGAUUGGACAUGAGGAUGAUAAUUCGGUGGUGGAACUUGAUAUUAGGGAAAAACAUUUGGCUGUGGAGCUUGGAAUUGUGGUUGGACAUUUGGGAGUGGAGCUUGGUACUGGGGUUGGCUAUUUAGGAGUGGAGUUUGGUACUGAAGUUAGGCAUUGAGUGAAUCUUGGCAUUGGGGUUGGGUGUAGAAUACAUGCUGAAAGUUUGGUGACGGCGGAGAAGAGAAAAUAUUCCUAGAGUUGAACCUCUUUUUCAUUUUUGCAAUAGAAUCAGCAGAAAUCGUACCUACAUCCUCAUUUUUCUUCUUUGAGAACAUAGCAGUUCCGGAUAAUGUUGGGGUCUUGGCAAUUUUUCCUGUAUGAAUACCUUCUUCCAGUGAUUCUCCUAUUUUUACCAAAUCUACAAAAGUCGCCCUGACAGCGGACACCAUCCUGUUAUAAUAUUCUCCUUCUUGAGCGCGAGAGAACACAGAUACCAUUUCUUCCUCAGGCAUGGGGGAUUGUGCUUUGGCAGCUUCUUUCCUCCAACGAAAAGCAUAGUCGUGAAAAUAUUUAUCACUUCUCUGUUUGAUCCGAUCUAGUGAAUAUCAGUCAGGGACUAUUUCAAUGUUAAACGCGAACCUGUCAAGGAAUCCCUUGGCCAGUGCUCUCCAACUAGUCCAUCUUUUCAAUUCCUGAGACAUGAACCAUUCUAAGGCUUUGUCAUUUAAACUCCGGCUGAACAAAUGCAUAAAUAAUGAUUUAUUUUUCCCUAACCCCACCAUUUGAUCACAAUACCUUCUCAGAUGGGCCAUUGGGUUUUCGAUACCGUUGAACACUUCAAACUUGGGGACCUUGUACCCUUCUGGUAGAUCUACUCCAGGGUGAACACAUAUGUCAUCAUACCCUAAACCUUCGUGGUCCCUCGCUCCAUGAGAUUCUUUUAUCCUCAUGAUCUCUUCAUUCAUAGCUAAAAACUUCAUCUCAUGCUCGGUCCUCCACUCUUUCUCCUUUACUUCAUAAUGGUCCAUCUCGGGAUUAGAAAGAGGAUUAUAAAUGUCGGGGGAUAUGAUGGCAUGAGGAGGAUUUGGAAGAGAGGCUUGAUUUUGCAGAUGAAAGGAAGUUGGAUGGUAUGUGGGGAGGACGUUUUGAAAUUUGGGAAGGUUUUGUGGAAUUUGCGAGUAGUUUGGUGGCAUCUGAGAAGGAUUUUGCAAAUUUGGAAACGAAUUUGGUGGAUUCAGGGAUAGAUUCGAUGAAGAUUCGGGGAUGGAUUUUGUGGAUUUAGGAGUGAAUUUUGUGGAUUUGGGCAUGAAUUUUGUUGAUUUGCAAAUGGGUUUUGGGGAUUUGGGAAUGGAUUCGAAGAUGAAUUUUGCGAGGUUAGAGAUGGAUUUUGUGGAUGGUAAGCAUCUGGGUUAUUUUCACAAUUGGUAUUUUGGACAAGUGGAGGGGCAGAGACAGAUGAUAUGUUGUUUGGCUGAUCCUCGAGAAUAGGCAUACUGAGGAAAGGGAUUUGAAGUGGAGUCCCAUGUCCUCCUGGAGCGGGAGCAUUAACAGUGAUGGCCAGGUGAGCCAAAUAUCGAGUAUGAUUUAUUUUCUCCUGAAGCAUUUCAAGCUUUCUUGUGAGUUCCGCAAUCAUCUCACUCUGUUUCGCUAUUACAUUGUCCCUGAUGGUCAAUGCAUUUUCUUCAUCAUUUCCAGUCAUUAUUGAAUGAUGGUCAGAGGAAGGAAUUUUGUGUGCUUUUGACCGGGUGAAGUAGGAAUGUUCUGCCAGCUUAUAUCAACACGGAAUAGUUUCUAUUAUCUGUAAAGUAAAAAAACUCAAAGAAAGAUGUGUUAGUUUCCGAAUGUGAUAAGUAAUGCAAAAUAUUUGAUAAAAAUAAUCACAUAGAGUUGUUUGAGUCAUAGCCGAAUUCAUCCAUAGGAGCAUAGUGGAUAAACUUACCUUUGAUCCAAACAAACACACACAAGCACAUAAGACAAUUAUAGUACACAAAAUAUUAUAAUAAUGCGUAUCCUAACUGGGGUGACCCUUUUUGAGCCAAAGGUUCAGGUCUAACUAUUUUGAAGAAAAUAUAUGCUUCCUUAAAGUCAAUACAUUAUCCCCCAACUUAUAUAGACACGAAAAAGGGCAUAAAUGCCUACAAAGGAUAACAAAAGAAUGAUACAAUCUUUAGGAAAAAAGGGAAAUAACAUGAAAGAAGAUAAGUUCCCAUGCAAGGGAAAUAGAAAAACUAGCUACCGGAGGCUCCUUCGUAUGCCUUUGCCUUCUUUGCCUUGUUCACCUCCUGUGCUAUUUGAUACCUAUUGAUGAUCAGAUGACUCCCAUAUAACUGUGUCUUGCAGUCAUAAGUCAUUUUUCCUAUACUAUCGAGUUGAGAGGCCAUGCUAUCAUCCAAAUGGAUUAAACACUGCCUAGCAUCAUCAGCCUCUUGCCUAGCUCUUUUCAACUCUUCCCUCAAUAUACUAUUGUUAAAGCAUCUUCUACAUGCAUUUGUCGGUGUGCGAUUUCACUUUUUUGAAACUCAUCCUGAAGCCUGUGGAGUCGGAUCUGAUGCUCGGAUUCUACAUCCACGACCCGAGUGGGAACGUUCGGCCCCGAAAUCAAUGCUCCGUUGAGGCUCUUUUUUAACCACUCCUUGUAAGUGUCGCUGACUUCAGGUUCGUACCCUAUAUGGAAAGAGACUUCCGUCCACCUUCUUCUUCUCCAUCUGUUUAUCAUGUAGUCUUUGAGGGGGGGCUCGCUUUCAUCAUAUUCGGUGAAGAAUCUGAGCAUAGAAUCGAUUUGAGGCGUCUCCUGCUUGAUCUCGAAUUGCCUAAGAACUCUGCCAGGAUUGUAGGGACGAGUUCCCCUGAGACCCAAAAGCACUAGAAAAGGACACUCGCCCCCUCGAAUAGUGUAUUUCGCUGAACGAAGAUAGUUAAUGAACCAUUGGACAUCGUCAUCUCUUAAUUCUCCAAGAGUCUUAAACCAAAAUUCAUGAGAUGCUUCCCUUUUGAACUUGUGUAAAAACAACCACAUGUCGUACGAUUCUAGCAGAUUCCUUCUUGUUUUGUGAUCAGGUUCUGCCGUUCUAGGAUUUUUCACCAAAUGCAUCAUCAUCCACCAUUGUAAUAUAAGGUUGCAGCCUUGAAAGAAACGAUUCUCGACUUGACAUCUUCCCAAAGCUCGAUAUAUGUCGGGGACGAUCAUGGGAGCUAAGUUGUGGAAUACCUCUUUAGAAUUGUACUCUAUUCCAAAGAAGAUUGAAUGGGUCACUGAGGCAACCCUUGGAUGAAUUGAGUUAUUUUCCCCCUAUGGGAACACCAUGGUUCCGAGUAGGCCUACCGCAAAUGCAAAGGCUCUCGUCUCCUUCCAUUUUGCUUCUGACUCAAAUUUAUGCCCAAAUUUUUGAAAAAUAUUGAAUCUUCUGAACCGACGAUACAACUCACUAAAAGUGAUAUAUGCUCUAUCACGUUCUCCAAGCCAGGUGUCGUCAUCAGUUAAAAAUACCUCCUUGAUCUUUUGACGAUCCCACAUAACCGGGACUAAAAUAUUCUUAUCAGGUGUCUCCCUUCUCAUAAAACACAUUUCCGUACUCUCAUAACAAAUCAAUACCUCUUCAAUGGUAGGAGUCAAUUCAACAUCCCCGAAGCGAAAUACCAUAUUCUGAUCAUCCCAAAAAGUUAUUAGUACAUGGAUCAUUUCGGGCCAAACGUCCAUCUCGAUCAAAGAAGGGAGACGCCCGAUGUGUGUUCUAACAAUCUUUCUCUCUUCUGCGCUCAUGUGAUCCCACCAUAGUUUCAAGAAAUCAUCAGGUUUAGUAACCAUCUUGAAAUUUUCGUGGGAAUGUAGUUGAGCCAUAUCCUACACGAAAGCAGGCAAAGAUAAGCCUUCCCCAGUCCCCAGAAGGUAAUGAAUUGAAUUAGACAAGCAUAUAUUUUUUCCAACACAUAAAUAUGAUUCUUCUUUAAUUGACUCGGGGUCAAUAGAUGGAGGGAAGGUUUUCUAAUAGGCCCAAUACCCCGCUCGAGUGUUGGGUCAUCCUAGGCUCAUGCCUAAAAUAGGGUUUUGGUUUCGUUCUAUCCUAGGUGUCUAGAGUGGGUUUGAACAUUGGUUCUCAAGCGGACAACUUGAGUUUGAAAAUACGAACAACCAUCAGACGACUCACGUGCUAAUAAAUCGUUCGUAUUUCCAACAUAUUUUGGAAUUGAACAACAGGGGCCGGACAUCCACGAAAUCCCAAAACAGUUUAAAUAAUGCAGGAAUAUGCCAUGAGAUGCGAUAGUUAAACUUUACAAAAUCAAAACAUACAAACACAUAAACAGUUAAUCAAAAGACGAAAUCAAAUAUUUGGUUAGACACUAUUUAAAAAUCCCCAGUGGAGUCGCCAGUUCUGUUUUGCGAAGAAAUUUUGACUUUUUUUAAAAGAGUCGCCACUUAAUUUUGAAAAAGGAAUUAAGAAACCUUUAUAAUGUACUUAGACAAUUCAAAACAGAAAAAUCGUUUAAGUUAAGAGAUUUUGAGUAAGCAAUUGCUAUUAACGUUUUAGGAAGGUGUUAGGCACCUAAAACGUCCGCUAACUUGCGUUUAUCCGGACUAUUUGAAAAUCGUCUUUUGAUUAACUUCUAAAAGAUUAAUUUGUUGAAAAGUGAUUGAUUUUAAGAAAAAAGAUUCGUGUAAAAAAAACAAUUUUAGACAACCUAAUAGGGAUUUUAACUAAGUCUACACAAAUGAAAUAAGCAAGUAAACACAUAAACCGGUAAAGGGAGAAGAAAAUAAACGAUUUAGGCCAUUGGGCCCACACCAACAAAACCUGUCCUAAACUAGUGGGGCUUUCGACCCAUUUUCACCUGUCCUAAUCUAGUUUUCGAGCUUUUGGCUCGAGUCUCGCUUCACCUGUAUUAAAUACAACUUUGACUUCGAGGCCUCAAAUAAAUGAAUAAGUAAUAAACUGAAUAAAUAAAUAAAUAGAUAAUUAAAUUAAUAAAGGACGAAUAUAUAAACGAAUGAGAAGCCGAAGGGCUUCUAGUCUUUUUGCAGCUUCAAAGACGGGACUUUGAUCCUCUCUUCUUCUCUUGUUCCCUUUUUACAUCCAUACGCCAUGCAACGGGUUUUUGGACUUUCUUUCGACUUGACUCAAUGAGAUGGGCCUCAUUGGCCCAAUGAGGGAUGCGAAGAGAAGGAGAGUCCAUUUGGACUCCAGGACGGGUUCAUGCAAAGCAAGAAAGUAACGAAUGUUAAUAUGAGGUCAACUAAGAAAGAAAAAGAAAAGGAGGAUUAAAGAAAAACACAAACAUCAAAUCAAGGAAAUAAAGAAGUGAGCUACAUAACGUAUGACUAUCUGAAGGAAAGUUAUCACUAAGAAAACUAACUCAAUACUCAAUCACAGAAAAUCCAAAAGGCUAAUAAGAAAGAGGGAGGGUGUGUUCAUAUAGUCAAACAGCAUGCUAAGCAAAUUAUGUCUUGAUAUAAACUUUUUUUUUUUACACUUAAGUGUAAGUAACAUGUUUGAUAUCUAAGAGCAUAUCAUGAGUGAUAAUGUAGGUAGCUCAUGAACAUACUGUAAACUCAUUUGAAAGGGUAUUCAUGACCAAAGUACUAUUGCUUCAUAGCCAAUCAAUCAAACCAACAUGAAAAGAAAACUUAUUCAAGAUUUUAUAAAGUAAAAAAAAUGAUCGAAAUGUGGACAAGAUUGUGAAUAUUCGCCGAGACACCAAAAUAUAGGGUUUACAUAUUAUCCAAUUUUAUCCAAAAAAAAAAGGGUAUUUUUGGGAAUCAAAACUUAAUGAAAGAUAAUGAUGAAAGCAACGAUCACAACUUUUAACGACUGGAAAGUUUGAGCCUUUUGUGAAAGCAAAGAACAAAUUUUCACAAACAUAUACUGAGAAUCAAAAGGGAAUUUAAGCUAUAACAAAACUCAACAUACUUCCUGGGUAUACUAAUACACAGAUAAACAUCAUGUACUAAAUGCGAGUGUACGUGAGCAAGCGACAUCAAUGGAUAUUUAUCAAAGAAAAAUUCAAUGAGUGAUAAGAAAGUUUGGAAUAAGGAGCAGCCUAGGAAACCGAGUUAGGGUACUCAAGGUUCUCGCUAGAGCUCAAAUUUUCCAAAACUUUCUCAUUCCCAUUGAACCAAAUUCUAAUCAAACAAGGAAGGCAUCUUGGUCAUCUAAUUCGGGAUCAACGAAAUUCUACAGGAAACCAUCGUAAUUUGCAAAACACACAGUUAAACAUGCUGGACAGAUUAACGACCGAAACACAUAGUCAGUGAGAUUGGACACUUAGAAAUUAAAAUAGGGAAAAUCAAAGGUCCUAAACCAAAACAGUAAACCAAAAUAGGGAUCGGGAUACCAUCCUUAGACCCGAGGUAGCAGCCCGAAACUACUAAUUAGAAAUCAAAGUAUGAAACAUUAAUGAUGGAACCAAUAUAUAACAAGAUGCUAGCAACCCAAACUACUAAAAAUCGAAAUAUGACACUUUAGUAUGAAAUCAACUAUAACAGGGUACUAGUAGCCCGAACCAAAAUCAAAGCAUGCAACUUUAAACGACGAAACCAGCCUUACAGGAUGCCCAGCAACUCAAAAUAGAAUCGAAGAACAUGAAACUUUAACAUAAGGUCAGCUAUACAAACCUUAAGCAGUUCACAAAAAAAAAGAGUAUUAAAUCGGACAUCUAUCAACAGCUACCUACGGCUAUUAAAGCCAUCUACCAGCAAUCAAUCCCAGCAUAUAAUGUUACUCAAUAUUUGCUCACAACUACAAAAGGUCCAGAUGAAUCAGAGGCAAUCGAAAGCUUAAAUGGAGUAGGAUAUUACCUUUUAGGGAGCAGCAAAACGGGACUCGAGGCUUCGACGAAAUUUCAACUACCACCAGAAGACUUCGCCGUGAUUCCGAAAAAAUAAAAGACUCUGAACAAUCACCAACCUUCCUUAGAAACAAGAACUUUCACUGAAAGCAAUCUCUUUUUGUUUUUCCAGAAUUUUCCCCUCUUUCGAACCCAAAAUUUCUCUAACUUUUUCGAACCCAAAAUUUUUUCUUUUUUAUAGCUUUUAGGAGAACUAUUCCCAGAGAACCCAAAAGGGAAAGAAGAAAAAAUAAAAUCCCCUAGAACAGUGACCCAAGGGGUCUUUAUAUAGAAGACAAAUUAGGGGUAGAUUAGGGAUUUGAAAAAAACCUAAUUUUGAAAUUCAAACUGGAACCCCUUCUACAGCUUGGAUUUCAUCCCCCAUUGGUACCAAUUUUUUUUUUUGUGACAGCUGUGGGAUUCUUUGAAAUGGUGGAC
rnacentral:lncRNA from 1 species